CAGUCGCCGCGGGAAUACGUAGGGUGCGAGCGUUAAUCGGAAUUACUGGGCGUAAAGCGUGCGCAAGCGGUUCGUUAAGACAGAUGUGAAAUCCCCGGGCUUAACCUGGGAACUGCAUUUGUGACUGGCGAGCUAGAGUAUGGCAGAGGGGGGUAGAAUUCCACGUGUAGCAGUGAAAUGCGUAGAGAUGUGGAGGAAUACCGAUGGCGAAGGCAGCCCCCUGGGCCAAUACUGACGCUCAUGCACGAAAGCGUGGGGAACAAACAGGAUUAGAUACCCGUGUAGUCCCUGUCUCUUAUAC
rnacentral:rRNA from 1 species